AUCAAAUCUAGAGUCUCACUCAUGCUGACCAAGCAUUCUACCUUGUAUUAGGUUUCCGUGGAAACUGGGUGUCUGAAUAAGAGGACUUCCAGAAAGACAAAUGAACAAUCAGGAUAAAAUAUCAAAGAAAAAAUAUAUCUUCCCAAGAAAACUGAAGGCUGAGAUUGCAAAAGCUCACUGAAAACAUCAAAUAAUGAGUGAGAAAAGUCUCAAGCAAGGCUCCCUGGAGUUCUGUUUCAGACUUGUGAAGCUUACAUGUCCUUUUUCAAGCAAUAGUGAGCUGUCAUGUAAAGAGAUAGAAGAGUCCAGCUCAGAAAAGUUGGGUUGGAGGUGUGAGUGGGGAGAUAUUUGCCUAUGAAAAGUAUUUGAAGCCAAAACACAAAUGAAACAACUUACAAAGUGUUGCACAAGAGCAAUGACUGAUAGCAGAAAUCCCACACUUGGACAACGGAGACAAAAGGAUUGCUUCAACUACACAAAGAGCAUCGCUGUUUGCCAUGAAGCCAUCUUCCCCACCUCUCAGCAGCAUUACCUUCCGGAGAAGCAGCAGCAGUUCACUAGUGAAUUGCCUCAAAGGAGCCAAUUGUGACUCUGAUAGAGUUCACAUCAGGAGCAUCAAUAGAUGCUGCACGGUCGUCAUUCUCCAAAGCAAAGCAUGGCAGGAUCUCCCGAAGACACACGCAGCCUGGAAAGAGAAUUAGUUUAUUUUGACACUUCUACUUCAUCCUCUUACUGCCUACACAGUGAUUUACUGA
rnacentral:lncRNA from 1 species